rnacentral:rRNA from 1 species
GCGGCUUGCCUAGAUGAAUUUGGUGCUUGCACCAAAUGAAACUAGAUACAAGCGAGCGGCGGACGGGUGAGUAACACGUGGGUAACCUGCCCAAGAGACUGGGAUAACACCUGGAAACAGAUGCUAAUACCGGAUAACAACACUAGACGCAUGUCUAGAGUUUAAAAGAUGGUUCUGCUAUCACUCUUGGAUGGACCUGCGGUGCAUUAGCUAGUUGGUAAGGUAACGGCUUACCAAGGCAAUGAUGCAUAGCCGAGUUGAGAGACUGAUCGGCCACAUUGGGACUGAGACACGGCCCAAACUCCUACGGGAGGCAGCAGUAGGGAAUCUUCCACAAUGGACGCAAGUCUGAUGGAGCAACGCCGCGUGAGUGAAGAAGGGUUUCGGCUCGUAAAGCUCUGUUGGUAGUGAAGAAAGAUAGAGGUAGUAACUGGCCUUUAUUUGACGGUAAUUACUUAAAAAGUCACCGGGUUACUUCCGUGCCAGCAGCCGGGNAAAUACA